UACAGAGGGUGCAAACGUUGCUCGGAAUCACUGGGCGUAAAGGGCGUGUAGGCGGGAAGGAAAGUCAGAUGUGAAAUCCCUGGGCUCAACCCAGGAACUGCAUUUGAAACUCCCUUUCUUGAGUACCGGAGAGGAAGGUGGAAUACCUGGUGUAGAGGUGAAAUUCGUAGAUAUCAGGUGGAACACCAGUGGCGAAGGCGGCCUUCUGGACGGUAACUGACGCUGAGACGCGAAAGCGUGGGGAGCAAACAGG
rnacentral:rRNA from 1 species